rnacentral:rRNA from 1 species
GACGAACGCUGGCGGCGUGCUUAACACAUGCAAGUCGAACGGAAAGGCCCUGCUUUUGUGGGGUGCUCGAGUGGCGAACGGGUGAGUAACACGUGAGUAACCUGCCCUUGACUUUGGGAUAACUUCAGGAAACUGGGGCUAAUACCGGAUAGGAGCUCCUGCUGCAUGGUGGGGGUUGGAAAGUUUCGGCUGUUGGGGAUGGACUCGCGGCUUAUCAGCUUGUUGGUGGGGUAGUGGCGUACCAAGGCUGUGACGGGUAGCCGGCCUGAGAGGGUGACCGGCCACAUGGGGCCUGCGAUAGGGCCCAGAGUCCUACGGGAGGCAGCAGUGGGGAGUAUUGCACAAUGGGCGGAAGCCGGAUGCAGCAACGCCGCGUGCGGGAUGACGGCCUUCGGGUUGUAAACCGCUUUAGCCUGUGACGAAGCGUGAGUGACGGUAAUGGGUAAAGAAGCACCGGCUAACUACGUG